GACGAACGCUGGCGGCGUGCUUAACACAUGCAAGUCGAGCGGAGCGGCGAACGGGUGAGUAACGGGUGAGUAACUGCCCCCCUCUCUGGGAUAACAGAUGGAAACUGCUGCUAAUACCGGAUAGUGGGGGAUGACUCGCGUCCUAUCAGCUUGUUGGUGGGGUAGUGGCCUACCAAGGCGACGCCGGGUAGCCGGCCUGGGAGCGCGACCGGCCACAAUGGGCUGAGAUAGGGCCCAAACGCCUACGGGGGGCAGCGGGGGGGAAUAUUGCACAAUGGGGGAAACCCUGAUGCAGCAACGCGCGUGCGGAAUGACGGCCUUCGGGUUGUAAACCGCUUUCAGCCAUUACGCGGUAGUGGCAGAAGAAGCACCGGCUAACUACGUGCCAGCAGCCGCGGUAAUAC
rnacentral:rRNA from 1 species